CAAUAGCGUAUAUUAAAGUUGUUGCGGUUAAAAGCUCGUAGUUGGAUUUCUGCCGAGGACGACCGGUCCGCCCUCUGGGUGAGCAUCUGGCUCGGCCUGGGCAUCUUCUUGGAGAACGUAUCUGCACUUGACUGUGUGGUGCGGUAUUCAGGACUUUUACUUUGUAGGAAAUUAGAGUGUUUCAAGCAGGCAUACGCCUUGAAUACAUUAGCAUGGAAUAAUAAGAUAGGACCUCGGUUCUAUUUUGUUGGUUUCUAGAUCUGAGGUAAUGAUUAAUAGGGAUAGUUGGGGGCGGAUUCGUAUUUAAACUUGUCAGAGGUGGAAAUUACUUGG
rnacentral:rRNA from 1 species